rnacentral:lncRNA from 10 species
AGCCAGAAUACAGAGAAAAUUCUCGAAUACUUGUGUGGUGAGUUAAUAAUGACCCUCUAGAGUGUCUACAUCCUAAUCCCUGGAACCUGUGAAUAAGACCUUACAUGGCAAAGGGAACUUUGUGGACAUGAUUAAGAAUCUUGAGAUGGGGGAUUAUCCUGGAUUAUCCUCGUGGGCCAUAAAUAUGAUAAUAAGAAUGCUUAUAAAAAGGAGACAGAGGAACAUUUGACUACAGAAGGGGAGACGGUGAUGUGGUGAGGGAGCAGAGAUUGGGUGAUGCACUUUGAAGAUGGAGGAAGGGGCCACAAGCCAAGGAAUGCAGGUGGCCACCAGGAGCUGGAAACAGCAAGGAAAUGGGUUCUCCCCUAGAGUCUCCAGAUGGAACCAGCCCUGCAGACACCUUGAAGUUAGUGUAGGGGACCUGAUUUUGGACUGCUGACCUCCAGGAGUGUAAGGGAGGUGAUAAUGAUGAAACAGAGUAACUUUGUUCUCCAUUCUCAGGUUUACCUUUAGUUUACUCUUGCUUUGAUCCUUGGAAAGUCUCUGGAACAAACAGAUUUAGGAAUGCAUAGAUCUUUAUAUUUCUUUCUUUCUUUCUUUUUGGGACGGAGGUCUCACUCUGUCACCCAGGCUGGAGUGCAGUGGCACAAUCUCAGCUCCCUGCAACCUCCACCUCCUGGGUUCCACUGAUUCUCCUGCCUCAGCCUCCAAAGAAACUGGGAUUAUAGGUACAUGCCACCACGUCCAGCUACUUUUUUGUAUUUUUAGUAGAGAUGGGGUUUCCCCAUGUCGGCCAGGCUGGUCUCCAACUCCUGACCUCAAGUGAUCCACCCACCUCGGCCUCCCAAAGUGCUGGGAUUACAGGCGUGAGCCACUGCGCCCAGCUCAAUCUUUAUAUUUCAACACUGAUUUAUGUUGGUGGAGCAGACACUUGGGCCUGGGAGUGGGGGGUGGCUGGGAGAGGAGGAGGCCAGAGCUAUCCAAUCUUUCGAAGAUCCCACACUCUACAUUUUUUCAAGUUUCUCUUAAUGUCACCUGUUUCUGCCCAAAAAGGGGAUACUUUAGAUGACUUAAGUGGCCUGGAGAAUAAACCUGCUUCACCGUCUCUUGCAGGCCUGGAUGAGUGACCUGAAGAGUGAAUGCUGUUUGUGCUGAGGUAGAAAAGCUCUAUGUGCUUCAUGAACAAUUCUGCAUUGGCAGCAUCUUAUAAAGUAGUGCAAGGCUGGUCUUUCAACUGGGGCCGGGCCUUUUUGUGAGUCUCUGCAAACACCUGCUCCUCUUCAACAGCUCCGGAGGGCAGUGCUGCAUCUUGAGAUAAACCUGGAGCGUUUCGGCGGCGCCUGGUUCAGAACCACCGGGGCGGACAGCUCCCUGGAGCUGCACGCGGACUGCGGAAGGGGACAGUGAGCGGGAUCGGCCCGCACUCCGUCCG